ACAAGAUCAAUUCAGUGUGUUUCCUCAUCAGCUGAACAGUCUGUCAAAACUCUGACAGGAACACAUGAGAGAGAAAGAAGCAAGACACUAAAACAGUGAAUUAGCUCAAGAUCACUAUGAGGAACUUAAAGAACAAGGCUGAACACUCCCAUGAUGGAAUCUUAAAAAUGGAAUUCAUACGAUGCUUUCUUCAAAACAAAAAAAAAAAAAGUGGUAAUGCAAGGCAAGAUUUUGCCUGAGGUAAAGGACUACAUGAACCUGAUUACAAUUAAACUUGAAUGAACUACAAAACAAACAUAAUUUCCAGUUCAAAAUCAACUGAAGGAUCAAGAAGGAUGUGUUUCAUCUUCACCAGUCGAGCACAGUUCUUCAUCAGAGGUGUGUAAACAUUAGUUGAACUGUAUUUCAUUUGUUCAGUCUGUGAGCAGUGAUAUUAAUACUUAUUCUGCCUUGUUUGUAACAUUUGCUUAGCCAAUAACAAUAUUAUGAAAUAAAAUGCCAUACAAUUAUUUUUGAGUUGUAUAAAAAAAAAACAACAGACAAAUGCCACAAAUGCAUUUUGGAAAGUAUUAUGCCGAUCAAAAAGUACAUAACAUACAUUAUUAACAGUAAACCAGAUUAAAUGAGCUGAUACUUCCGUCUCUAUCUACCUGUAAAACGUCACACCUGCACGCAUGCGCUUGAGCAUCCGGUUUCAUUCAUACGGAUGUCAUUUUGACUCAGCAACCAUUGUUGGCAACUUACUCACUGUAAAUUGCCAUUAAGAAAUUGUUUUCAUUUUUGAAAUUGUUCUAAGUGCCAUGUUAACAUUCGAGUUCUUCGACUGAAAGAAAAAAAACAACUAAAUACCAUGGGACAAAGGUAUGUUUGAGACAAAAGAUUGAGAUCAUCAUCGCCAUGCGCUAUCGUUAGUGUAGCAUGAAGCUAACAGCUACAUUGUUUGUAAAAUACUAUUUAUUGUCUAUUAAGAAGCAUGCAGAUAAAUUUAUUAAUAUCCCCAUUGUCAUAAACUGGUAGACGAGUUUUUAGAAAACUGAUUGGUUAGAAGGCUUGAAUGUAUUUUGGUUGAGCUUUACAGUGCAGUACGUCAAAGAGAGAAUGGAUGAAUUAUGUGUGUGGGGUGAAUUUGUGCUGUUUUUCCUACUGCAUACUGUUAUUAAUAAUAAUAAUUAAUAAAAUAAUAAGUCAUUGUUUAUUAUUUCUGGACCUUUUAAGUAAAAAGCUCAUUUUGAGUCCCCUGUUGGUCCAUGUUUUAUUCAAACUAAUUAUAGACAAGAGGUAGACUUUCUUGAAUGACAGGAAGAACCUGAUUCACAGUGACCACUAGAGAGUAGAUUCAGCUCCUUUUUAAUAAGUGUGAAUAUUACUGAGAUAUGAUGGCUAAAUGUAGGUUAGCAAACUAUUGAUUUCUUUUCAUCUUCUCUUUCUACAGUUGGUGCAUCAUCAUCAUCUCUCUGUUUCUGCUCUAUAUCUCAGGUGAGAAAUUAAACAUUUUAAAUGAAAGUUCAUGUCACAUGCAGAAAGAUGAACGGUGUGUUUGCUGUUUUUAGGUGCUUUCUCUGAUCCUGUGUGGGUAAAAGUUGAGGGCUCUGUUGGAGACUCAGCAAUCUUGUCUUGUUCCAUCCCUGAAUGUGAGAUUCAAGACAAAAUAGAAAAAUUAUACGUAAACUGGAGAGACGAUGAAGGCAAGACAGUGUGUGACAUCAUUGGAGGCAGCAUAGCUAAAGACCAAGAUCCAAAGUACAGGGUCAGAGUAGAAACGUUCCCAGAGGAGUAUAAGAAGGGUAACUUCUCCAUCAAACUCAACGGUCUUCAAAAAAAUGAUGCAAGGAAGUACUACUGUUACAUCACAAGGGACAUUGCAUCACAUGACACAUUUCAGAAAGUUGUAAUCACAGAGCUUCAUGUCAGAGAUAAACCAGAAGGAAGAGGAAACCAUGGAGAACUAUCAUUGAUUGUGUUGUUGAUCAGUUUUCUUUUCACUCACAUUUUGCCGUUUAUCUGAACAAUAUUUUAUUCAGUUCUGUAAGUGUUGCACGGUUGAGUGCAGAUCUGAUCAAGCAGCCAAAAUACAGUAUGGUCAUUUUGGGUAAAUUUCAUUCUACAUUUCAGAAAAUAACAUGUUGAUCCUUGGUUUUUCAGUCAUUA